CCAAAGAUUUAUCGCUUCAAGAUGGCCUCGCGUCUGAUUAGCUAGUUGGCGGGGUAACGGCCCACCAAGGCGACGAUCAGUAGCCGGACUGAGAGGUUGAACGGCCACAUUGGGACUGAGAUACGGCCCAGACUCCUACGGGAGGCAGCAGUGGGGAAUAUUGGGCAAUGGGCGCAAGCCUGACCCAGCAACGCCGCGUGAAGGAAGAAGGCUUUCGGGUUGUAAACUUCUUUUAAGAGGGAAGAGUAGAAGACGGUACCUCUAGAAUAAGCCACGGCUAACUACGUGCCAGCAGCCGCGGUAAUACGUAGGUGGCAAGCGUUGUCCGGAUUUACUGGGUGUAAAGGGCGUGCAGCCGGGUCUGCAAGUCAGAUGUGAAAUCCAUGGGCUCAACCCAUGAACUGCAUUUGAAACUGUAGAUCUUGAGUGUCGGAGGGGCAAUCGGAAUUCCUAGUGUAGCGGUGAAAUGCGUAGAUAUUAGGAGGAACACCAGUGGCGAAGGCGGAUUGCUGGACGAUAACUGACGGUGAGGCGCGAAAGUGUGGGGAGCAAACAGGAUUAGAUACCCUGGUAGUCCACACUGUAAACGAUGAAUACUAGGUGUGCGGGGACUGACCCCCUGCGUGCC
rnacentral:rRNA from 1 species